AUAGGUGCACAUGCACCGAGCUGGAUCGAUCCCAUUUGGGAACAAGAACAAGGGAUGCACUUGUUGUCGUCUUGCUAUGGCAUUGUCUCCGGUGUGCGUGCCGAUAUGAUUCGUGUUUGGCCAUAUGUCGCGGUCUCAGGCUGGCAAUUGUGCGAGUGACGUAACGUUUAAGCGCGUUACAGGUUUUCAUUGGCGUUACUGUUAGAUGUAUUAGCAAACGUAUUUUACGUAAUGUUUCGUUGGUUCUCCCAUCUCCGCCGUUCCAUUCCGCUCACCGACAUUGAUUCCAAGGAGGAGGCGGCGGUAGCGGUGAUGGCCGCUGCUUCGCCUCCCACUCCGACCACCAGCAGUUCGCCUCAGGUCCGGCAGUUGUCCUGCACCAAAUGCUUCGUUGCGCUUUGGUUCUGCUAUCUGGCGUGGUCAAAUCAUUGAAGUGGUGGAGCUCUCAGUGGCCUUUGCCUUAGGAAUCGCUCCAAAAGUCUCGACACUGUUGUUCUCGCCCAACGUCGUGCGUGCCAAGGGCUACUCUGUCUGUCAAAGACAUUGUUGUUUUGAUUGCUUAAGAAGAUCCUAUGUGAUUUGAAUGGAAGGGGAUGGUGGGCACGGCUUAGUGUCAUCAAGGUGUUUGUGCAAACGUCCGUGUGAAUGUGCUGGAUCUUGAGCAAGAUGGUCGUGGGUUAGGCACAGAUCAUGUUGGGAAAAUGCUUCGCUAUAUCUAGGAAAGAGUGGAGGUUAUGUUCCUGAAGAUGGUGUGUGCAGUUGGUUCAUUAUAUUGGAUGAUCGUGGGUGCGUGCAGUUGGUUCAUUAUGCUCCCGAAGCUUGUGCUGGAGGCUGAUUCUCUAAAUGUGGUGCAUGUGAUGAAUGGCAAAAUCUCAUGGAGAUUACCAAAGCUUGAAGGAUGUCAAGAACUCUUUGGUCCCAGUAGAGUGAAUGGAGUGAAUCAUGUUAGCGUUUCCUUCAAUGAGAUGGCAUUUUGCUAAAAGUACUCUUCAACACCCUGAUGAAGUGAGUUCUCAUGUCAGAAGCUGCAAGAUCUCCCUUUAGUUGAUCAUUUCAUUGAUUUAUAAUUGAAUUCCAUUUAUCAUAAGAAAAGUAGCUUUCAUAAGUGGAGAGAAAGCAGAACAAUAUAUAUCUGUACGAAUCGGAAGGUGGAGGAAGCUUCAGUGGACUGAUGGUAAUGUAUGACAUAUUUUCCAGCUUCCUCCUAAAUCUGGCUCAUGACCUCUAUUUUGAAACAUGAAAUUCUGCACUUGUUAAUCAAUGACUAUGUAUGUUGACUAACUAUCAGUAUUCUUUUCGAGAUCUACAAAUAUAUAAUCCGGUGAGUUCUAAAGUUUACCAUAUAUUUAUAUUAAAUAAACUGUAGAACUGCUGAUGAAGUGCUUUAAUUAUUACCGUCAGCUUUGUUUCUUGUUUCUGUGUUCUCCUUUAGUUGGGUGCAGAUAUAAAAAGGAGGAGAAAAAGGUAUGUCUGGAGUGCUUUUCCCCCUUUUGUUUUAUGCAAAUAAAUCUACACCACAUUUUAAAUAUUGGCAACUUCGUGGAUGGUUAUACUUGUAGAAUCAAAUCCCUACUCCCAAGGCUUUAUUGGAAACCACAGUAGUUUGAAUGACUUGGUGUAUGCUGUUGCUCCAAUUAUGUUAUCUCUAAUCUUCAAUAAGAUAAUGCAUUAUGAGUGUCUAUGUUAUGGCCUCAGGAGCAGGGCACAGGUAACUGCAUCCACUUGAGACAGAGACAGAGAGAGAGAGAGAGAGAGAGAGAGAGCUAGUGCAAAUAUAUCUGGCUUUCUCUUUUCAUCUACCUAAGUAGAUUUCCAGAGGUGAUUAGCUAUAUAUACCUCACAUCACCAUCGUCCUGAUCACGGGAGGUGGAGUGAUGCAAUCGCAGGUAUGCUGAUGGCAGCAAGAUAUCGUCGGAUGCACUGAGCCAAAUCAAAGGAUAGAUCAUUUUUCGUCUUUUAAUUUUGUGUUUUUUUCCCUUUUCGAAAAAACGAGUUGCUUGAUGGACAUGAGAUCGGAUGGCCAUGGAUGCUGCAAUCAUGUAAGAUCAGAAAUCACGUAAUUAUUUGCUAAAUUUGUAUUUCUGUAUCAGUCGUGUACCCUUUUUUAAGGGGGGUUUGGAAAUUAUAUAUCUGCUACUUUG